rnacentral:rRNA from 1 species
UACGUAGGGUGCGAGCGUUGUCCGGAAUUAUUGGUCGUAAAGAGCUCGUAGGCGGUUUGUCGCGUCUGCUGUGAAAUCUGGAGGCUCAACCUCCAGCCUGCAGUGGGUACGGGCAGACUAGAGUGCGGUAGGGGAGAUUGGAAUUCCUGGUGUAGCGGUGGAAUGCGCAGAUAUCAGGAGGAACACCGAUGGCGAAGGCAGAUCUCUGGGCCGUAACUGACGCUGAGGAGCGAAAGCAUGGGGAGCGAACAGG